rnacentral:rRNA from 1 species
AACGAACGCUGGCGGCGUGCUUAACACAUGCAAGUCGAACGGAGUUACUACCUUCGGGUGGUGACUUAGUGGCGCACGGGUGAGUAAUGGAUAGGAACGUACCGUUUGGUGGGGGACAACCACGGGAAACUGUGGCUAAUACCGCGUAAGAUCGCAAGAUGAAAGAAGGCCUCUGAUUUAAGCUUUCGCCAAAUGAUCGGCCUAUCUCCCAUUAGCUUGUUGGUAGGGUAAAGGCCUACCAAGGCUACGAUGGGUAGCUGGUCUGAGAGGAUGAUCAGCCACACUGGAACUGAGACACGGUCCAG